rnacentral:rRNA from 1 species
AUUGAACGCUGGCGGCAGGCCUAACACAUGCAAGUCGAGCGAGCGGCGGACGGGGGAGUAAUGUCUGUGAAGCUGUCUGCUGGAGGGGGAUAACUACUGGAAACGGUAGCUAAUACCGCAUACCAUCAGAGGUGCCCAGAUGGGAUUAGCUAGUAGGUGGGGUAACGGCUCCCCUAGGCGACGAUCCCUAGCUGGUCUGAGAGGAUGACCAGCCACACUGGAACUGAGACACGGUCCAGACUCCUACGUGAGGCAGCAGUGGGGAAUAUUGCACAAUGGGCGCAAGCCUGAUGCAGCCAUGCCGCGUGUGUGAAGAAGGCCUUCGGGUUGUAAAGCACUUUCAGCGGGGAGGCGUUACCCGCAGAAGAAGCACCGGCUAACUCCGUGCCAGCCGCCGCGGUAAUUC